GGUCCCUUGACGGGUUCCAGGAAUGGUGGGAGGACAACCUGAAGAUCAUUCUCUUUGCACACAACAGCAUCGUCCAGGCCUCCAGAGUACUCACUCUAUCGCCUGCUGUACGGACGGGAGCCGCAGCUGUUUACUGAGGUGAGACUGAACAUGGACAAGGAGCUUGAGAAAAAGGAGAGCCACCGGAGGAGAAUCAAGGGGACCAAGUCCUUUGACAUCCGGGCGAAUUACUUGGCUUGUAAGAAGGAUGAAAGGAAGGCGAUACCUGGGAAAGCUUGAUGCUCUUUCGCUCCUCGCUGGGGUCACCAUCCGUUAAGGACCAUCCCUUACCAACCCCACUGACAUAAAACAUGAGACAGGAUCUAGGGGUUCUGCCUAACACCCAGACGUGGAUCCACCUGAUGUCCUCCAUUACCUGUUCUCCAGGAUCUAGGGGUUCUGCCCAACACCCAGACGUGGAUCCACCUGAUGGCCUC